rnacentral:rRNA from 1 species
UACGGGGGGGGCAAGCGUUGCUCGGAAUUACUGGGCGUAAAGGGCGCGUAGGCGGCACUGUUAGUCAGGCGUGAAAGUCCUGGGCUCAACCUGGGAACUGCGCUUGAUACGGCAGAGCUAGAGGAUGGAAGAGGGUCGCGGAAUUCCCAGUGUAGAGGUGAAAUUCGUAGAUAUUGGGAAGAACACCGGUGGCGAAGGCGGCGACCUGGUCCAUUACUGACGCUGAGGCGCGACAGCGUGGGGAGCAAACAGG